rnacentral:rRNA from 1 species
UACGUAGGGGGCAAGCGUUGUCCGGAAUCAUUGGGCGUAAAGAGCGUGUAGGCGGCCCGGUAAGUCCGCUGUAAAAGUCAAAGGCUCAACCUUUGAAUGUCAGUGGAUACUGCCGGGCUAGAGUCCGGAAGAGGCGAGUGGAACUCCUGGUGUAGCGGUGGAAUGCGCAGAUAUCAGGAGGAACACCGAUGGCGAAGGCAGUUCUCUGGGCCGUAACUGACGCUGAGGAGCGAAAGCGUGGGGAGCGAACAGG